CUACAUCGGUGGCAUGAAGUCCCACAAGUACAAUGACAACCGGUGUUUAACUGACGUUGGCCAGGAAAAACCCUCCCCAGCCUUUAUGACUGCAAAGAGGCUGCACGGAGCGGAAUGAGGAUUUACUGGGACUUCACUCAGGGCAAAAAACUGAAGAGCAGACGGACAAAGAGAUGUCUGGAGAUUAAAAAUGGAAAACUUCUAAUGCAGCAGUGCUCUGGCCAAAGAUGGAACAUUCAAAACAUAAUUAAAGCAUUUUAACACCAGGACCGCCAGCAAUUUUGGGCCCCCUGCGAGUGACCGAGUGACUGUCAGGCGGUCAUAUGUAAUUUAAUUGUUUGUGCUCAUAAACACACAAAUAAUAAUACUUUUUUUGAUGAAGUUACAAUAAAUACUUUAAUGUACAAACAAAAUAUCACAGAGCAUAGAGCAGGAUUGGCAACCUUUUAAAUGUCUCAUGUCAAUUCACAAUAUUUGUUGGCUUUUUUUAUAGUGGGCAGUGUUUUUUUGUUUUUUUUUACUGCUGUUCCACGUCUUCCGUCUGUAAAAUACAUUCUACAAAAAUAAAUAAUACAUAACUUUUAGUCUAUUAAUAUUGUUGAUUAUAUUAGGAUAUGCAUUUUAAUAAAACACUGCAAAAAGAGAUAAACACCGAAAUAAUGAGAGGAAACAUUUUUGUAAUGAUGCUCCUCCUCCUGCUCCUCUCAGCAACUGGAUUUGUUUCCAGGAGAGAAGGGUCUUAUUCUGCUUGCAGUGGGUGUUGAUCUGACACUGCCUUCUUUUCGGCUCUUGUGGCUGCUGUGGCUCCAUGGGCACCGAUGUCAGACUGGCCUUGACACACAGGUGUUCUUCUCGCAGUUUAAAAAAAAAGUUGCGGCAAAACAAUGCAGGGGAAUGUAUCAUUUUCAACUGCGGUCCGUAUGACUGCUGCGGUCAGAGGCAUAAAUGCUCUUUGGACAGCAAGAAGCGCUCUCAUCAUCAAUAGUUACAAUCACCUGUAUGUAUGAAAUCUAAAAUGACAAACGUGACUAGUGUACUCAUUUAUCACACUCUUUUUGGGAAGGGGAAAGUGAGCCGUUUGGAAAUUGAGUUAACAUCCUAUAUUCCAUUUUGAAUUGUGCUGCAGGGGUGUGGGGUUUACAAAAAUGUAGAUAGAAUGUAGAACUAAAACUAUAGGAUGCUUCCUGGGGGUUCAUAGAUUUGCUCCUAGGGGAACAUGGGCUGGGUGCCAGGGGCUGUACUACGAAAAUGUGAAAUGAUCUGAUUGUGGAAUCGACAGAAUAAACAAAAAAGUAUUCAUGUGGAGCAAAAAACAUAACUCUCAAUGGGCGAAUGAGCUUUAUUCAGUUUUUGAGGAGGUGGAUAAAAUGUAUAUUUUCAUGAAUAAUCUGUGUUGUAACGUAAACUCCAUGAAAGAUAUGCUCUUGAUCAAGUAUAAAGAAAUAUGGUUUCAGAAUGGUCUAUCCAAGCCAAAACUGAGGACAUAUGUACAGAUCAAACAUGAUUUUAUGCCUGAAUUAUACAGUAUGUUACAUGUCGUUUAUCUAGAAGCCAAAGAUCCUUGGUUGCACAAAACGAUCUGGUAUUCUCCCUCUGGCCAUUGAAGUCGCUCGAUUCAAAAAUAUUCCUUUAUUUGACUGUGAGAUGUGUGAGUUGGAUGAAGUUGAAACCCACUUUCUUUUGCAUUGUACAAAAUAUGAGGAUUUAACAGAAUUAGUGUUUCAUGAAGUAGCUCGUCAAAAACCUGAAAUAUUGGCUUGGGUAGAUGUGCAAAAACUGGAAUGGCUAUUUAAGACUGAUGUGUUUAAGCUUGCUAAUUUUGUCUCAAAAGCCUGGAAAAGAAGACAGGCUAUUCUGUUUAAUUAGGGUUUUGUUUUCUCUUUUUAUUUUGUGACAAUAAAUAGACCUACUAUGCACUCUGAUCCUGGAAUGUUUUAACUCAUGGUGUCCUGUAAGACCAUCCCAGACCGGGCUGGGUGUAUAAAUGUAUGUAUGAAACAAUGAUAAAAUAAAAACUUCAAACUUCCUAUACAAUGCUAUUAUGAUGCAUGCUCUUAUCUGAAGAUUGUGGGGAGC